AUUCUCCGUUUGUGUGUAAACGAAGGGCACAAACAAAGGAAAACUGUCUCAGUUUUUCAAAAUAACCAUGUACGUGUAAAUGGGACCUUAGUGAUGAA